GAUGAACGCUGGCGGCGUGCUUAACACAUGCAAGUCGAACGGAAAGGCUCCUGCUUUCAGGGGUACUCGAUUGGCGAACGGGUGAGUAACACGUGGGUGAUCUGCCCUUCACUUCGGGAUAAGCCUGGGAAACUGGGUCUAAUACCGGGUAGGACGUUUUUUUGGAUGCCAUUGUGUAAAGUUUUUCGGUGUGGGUUGAGCUCGAGGCCUAUCAGCUUCUUGGUUGGGUAAUGGGGUACCAAGGCGUCGACGGGUAGCCAGCCUGGGAGGGUGUAAGGCCACAGAGGGACAGAGAUAGGGGCAAGAGGGAUACGGGAGGAAGGAGUGAAGGACAGAGGAAGAAGGGCGGAGGGAGGAAGGAGGGACGCCGGAUGGGAGAUGACGGCUUUCGGGUUGUAAAAAACUUGCGCUAGGGAAGAAGCGCAAGGGAGGGUACCAGGAGAAAAAGCACCGGCUAAUUAGGU
rnacentral:rRNA from 1 species